UAAUAAAUAAAUAAAAAUCUAAAAAAAAUAAAAAAUAAUUUUUUUAAUUAUACUAUUUCGAAAUUCAAACCCUAAACCCUAAACCCUAAAACUCAACUCUAAACCCUAAACCAUCAAUCCGGAACCCUAUUUUUUUUAAAUAAACCCUAAACCCUGAAACAUCAACUCUAAUCUCUAAACUCCGAAACAUCAACUCUAAACCCUAAACCCUAA
rnacentral:lncRNA from 1 species